rnacentral:lncRNA from 1 species
CCUCGCUCCCGCGACUCCGCUGCGGGUCUGCACACCCGAGGACUCGGUUUGAAACGCCCGCUUAUUUAUUUUCUUGUCGCCUCGCUACAAGAUUCUAUCCUUGUUUGGGCAUGAGUGGGGGGCGGCAGUCUCGUGGGACCGGCGGCAUUCGUCGUUCCUCCUUACGGGGAUAAUUCGAGAAGUGCGGUCCGGGGGUACUUAACCGAAACUAGCAAUCCCAGGCGGUACAAGGCCCUCCAUCGUAGGCAAAGCACUACCUGAAUGUAGAUUUGGGCCAUACGUUGGAAAAUAAGACAUGAGAGUAUGCUCCGAUCAACUUUUACUGUUCACUGGACAACUAUUUUGGGAAUUUGCAGACCUAUAAAGCCCAUCUAUAAAUCUCAAGCAUGUCCACUUUCAGAGAAGAGAAAUGCUGACAACCAUUUAGUCUCUGAGGACAACACUUUUAAAGUGUAACAAUGUGGCAUCCAGAGCUUAUCCAGAUGAGCGGAGAGCAAAUGAAUUUCCUUCUGCUCCCCUGUUGAAGAGGAGAGAAAAAUUCUUCAAGCUGACUCCAUCAUAGGACUGGAGAGAGAUUGGAUGUCAGAGUGAUUGAUGUGCUCCUACUGGAAGAAGGCAAACAUCCAUAUGUGAACUGCCUGUGGGGUUUCCAAGGAAAGGAACGGCAGGCAGCCUCUAUGAGCUUAAAGAAGAUAACUGGGACUUUAGUCCUAUAACCUCAAGGAACAGUAUUCUGUGAACCAUCUGAGAAGCUUGGAAGAGGACCCCAAACUCCAAAUAAGAAGCUCAGUGUG